GGGGGCCGGAGUACCAAACUCUGAUUUAACGACGUUUCUUCUGAGUGGUACAAGCAAAUAAUCAAAACUUUUAACAACGGAUCUCUUGGUUCUGGCAUCGAUGAAGAACGCAGCGAAAUGCGAUAAGUAAUGUGAAUUGCAGAAUUCAGUGAAUCAUCGAAUCUUUGAACGCACAUUUGCGCCCGCCAGCAUUCUGGCGGGCAUGCCUGUUCGAGCGUCAUUUCAACCCUCAAGCUCUGCUUGGUGUUGGGGCCCUACAGCUGAUGUAGGCCCUCAAAGGUAGUGGCGGACCCUCCCGGAGCCUCCUUUGCGUAGUAACUUUACGUCUCGCACUGGGAUCCGGAGGGACUCUUGCCGUAAAACCCCCCAAUUUUCCAAAGGUUGACCUCGGAUCAGGUAGGAAUACCCGCUGAACUUAAGCAUAUAAGGGGGGGAAGAGAGAAA
rnacentral:rRNA from 1 species